ACGAACGCUGGCGGCGUGCUUAACACAUGCAAGUCGAGCGGUAAGGCCCUUCGGGGUACACGAGCGGCGAACGGGUGAGUAACACGUGAGCAAUCUGCCCUUCUCUUUGGAAUAACCAUUGGAAACGAUGGCUAAUGCCGAAUAUGAACCCCUUUCGCAUGUUGGGGGUUGGAAAGCUCCGGCGGAGAAGGAUGAGCUCGCGGCCUAUCAGCUUGUUGGUGAGGUAAUGGCUCACCAAGGCAUUGACGGGUAGCCGGCCUGAGAGGGUGACCGGCCACACUGGGACUGAGACACGGCCCAGACUCCUACGGGAGGCAGCAGUGGGGAAUAUUGGACAAUGGGCGAAAGCCUGAUCCAGCAACGCCGCGUGAGGGAUGACGGCCUUCGGGUUGUAAACCUCUUUCAGCAGGGACGAAGCGAGAGUGACGGUACCUGCAGAAGAAGGACCGGCCAACUACGU
rnacentral:rRNA from 1 species